rnacentral:tRNA from 1 species
GUUCCAGUAGCUCAGCUGGAUAGAGCGACUGCCUCCGGAGCAGUAGGUCGCAGGUUCGAAUCCUGUCUGGAACGCCA